rnacentral:piRNA from 1 species
UGAGCUUCCUACGGAGAAAGGUGAUC